GUCUGAAGUGUCAACUGUGUCAGAGACAGUUGACCCCGGGACAACAUGCUGAGCAGGUAACAGGAGACUGAUGUCAAACUGUCACAGCUCAGCCUCCUCUUCCUCUUCCUCCUCCUAGGAACCAGUCUAACAAACCAAAAACCAACCAAAAUACAACCUAAUGAGAACUAACAGGCUAUCAACAAGGAUCUAUGUUCAACAAACCUGACAUUCAGUCAUCAAGCCAAUGACCAACCAACUAGACCCAACAUUCAGCCAACCAACGUUUGACCAACCAAUAAAUAACCAAUAGACAACCAAGCUGACAUUGAACAAACUACUAUCCAAUCAACAGACAUCAGUCUCACUCUGAAAGAUCCCCUCUAUCAGUCAAUCAUAAAACAACUACCUGCUAUCCAAUCAACAGACAUCAGUCUCACUCUGAAAGAUCCCCUCUAUCAGUCAAUCAUAAAACACCAUGAUGUUGUGUUCAAUGGAGACAACGGUUGUUCUUCAAUAAAACAGAAGCUUCUA